CGUAACAAGGUCUCCGUAGGUGAACCUGCGGAGGGAUCAUUACCAAGUACAACCCGUCUCCGGACGGGCUGCUACCAACCCUUUGUUGUCCGACCGCGUUGCCUCCGGGGCGACCCUGACCUUCGGGUUUUGGGGGACCCCGGGUGGACACCUAAACUCUGCGUAACUUUGUAGUCUGAGUAAUAGAUUAAAUCAAUCAAAACUUUCAACAACGGAUCUCUUGGUUCUGGCAUCGAUGAAGAACGCAGCGAAAUGCGAUAAGUAAUGUGAAUUGCAGAAUUCAGUGAAUCAUCGAAUCUUUGAACGCACAUUGCGCCCCGUGGUAUUCCGCGGGGCAUGCCUGUUCGAGCGUCAUUUCACCACUCAAGCCUCGCUUGGUAUUGGGCGACGCGGUCCGCCGCGCGCCUCAAAUCGACCGGCUGGGUCGAUCGCACCCUCAGCGUUGUGGAAACUAUUCGCUAAAGGAGUUGUGGUCGGUCACGCCGUGAAACAAACCAAUCUUUCAAUGGUUGACCUCGGAUCAGGUAGGGAUACCCGCUGAACUUAAGCAUAUCAA
rnacentral:misc_RNA from 1 species